ensembl:lncRNA
CGGCGUUGUCCGCGCGCGGCCACCUGACCCCGGGCGCAGUUGUUAUUAGGCUCGGCGAGGCGGGCGGCGCGCGGCACCAGGGUUGGGCUCUGGCCGGGAGUCGACAGAGGGAGCGAGGGCAGGGAGCGCGCCCGUGCGUGCGCGCGCUCUCGCGACCGGACUAUCCGCCGCGGACACUCUUUCGCCCGCCUUACACUUCGAGCCUGGGCCCCGCUCAGCACCCUGGGCCCUUCCUAAGCGCCUCCCGCGCCGGCCCUCAGGGAUGCACAGAAAAAAAGAGGAAAGCAAAGGAAUAAACUACAAGCAAUUACGCACUUAAAAAAGAAUUUUACAACUGAGAUAUCAAAGGUGGAGAUGCUGGGGAAUUCUUUGACUUUAAAAAACUGGAGUACAAGAUGAGGCCCUGUUUGACAACCAGAUUUCAUGUGACAAUAAGAACAUUCCAGCCAGAUAUAUGCACCUCAAGAUUUAUCUGAGCAAAAUGCUUAAAGGAAAUGGCAGAAAUGACAUGAGGUGACUUCCAAGGCUGGGUCAUGAAGACAGAAUUGUGACUUCCCCCUUCCUCUUGGAUGACUCACUCUGGGGGAAGCCUGGCAUCACAUCAGGAGGACACACAAGCUGGCCUAUGAUAAAGUCCACAUGGUGAGACCCUGAGGCCUCCUGCUCAAGCCAACAUUAGCUUGUCAGCUAUGGGAACACACCAUCUUGGAGAUGGAGCCUCAGUUCCAUCACCUACUAGAUGACAGCAGCCCAGCCGACCUCUUGUCUGCAAGCUCAUGAGAGCUGAGCAGAACCGCUAGCUCAGCAGCUCCUGAAUUCUCAACUCAGAAAUGCUGUGAGGUCAUGGAUGUUUACUUUCUUUCAAGCUACCAUGUCUUGUGCUGCUUUGCUAUGCAUGAGUAGAUAAUUAGUAUAAUCAUUAUUCUGGAACUUUGAAGUGGCCGCUCCUCAGCCAACACUCGUGCAGGCUUCUCCUGCCUUCACGUGGACUGCUUUGCAGAGCCCAAGGGAGGCUAAUUCUUUCUACUCCAAGAAACUCUGGAUGAGAAGAGUCUCUGCCCUGGUCCUUUUUUGGUAUCACCACUUCCAGGGAGCUCUCCUGAUACCUCUUGGCCAGGAUGGGGCCCUUCCUCCAAAUGCCUGCAAAAGUGCUCUGUGCCACCCUCUCCCACACUUCUCACCACCUUGCCUCUUGGUUCUGGAGCCAGUAACAUUCUCACCCAUGCUUUGGCUCACAGCAAGCUCAAACCCACAUUUUCAGUCUACUCUAGAUGACUUCCAAGUCUUUAUGGCAAAGAGAUUGAAAUCCUGUCCUUUAAUCUUAUUUUAAGAUUAUUCAGCAAUAUUCAUAUUGUAUUUUCUUACCCUUAAUUUAUUUCUGCCCUUAUUUCCUCAUCUGUUUUGUGUGUUUGUUAUGCAAAUUAUCACACAUCCUUUGUGAGAUGAAGCAGCAGUAAGCAAGUCACUGAAGGCCUGGGGGAAGAUACAAACAUCAUCUGCUGACAGUAGGCCAUAUACUCCAGAUAGCCUUGAUCUCCCCUGCUCCUGCUCCUCACUUCUCUAAUGGUGACACCACAUUCUCCUGUGGCUGGAGGUGCAUUGAAUAACUUUCUCAGCUUCUCAGCUGCACAUCAGAUUUGCAGUUACUGUUUGGUUUUCCAUGGCUGUUUUCCAAACUCUAGGGUGAGACAGACCAACAAGCUGUUCUGGAAGGAGACAGCGGAGUGAGCAAGGGGCUUGCUGUCCCCUGGGGUGGUGCUACAGGACCAGCCCAAAGUGUCCACUGCACUGAAGAAGCAGCCUCUCAACAGCCACCAGAGCAGGUGAGCAGUGCAGUGGCUUGAACAUUUCAGAUGGGAUCCCGCUAGCAGACACAGGUGGGGUAAGCAGAGCCUAAAAGCAGCAAGUGAGUAGCUUCCAGCCUAAUCCUGGACAGAGUGGGGCCUAGAUUCCUCCAUGGACCUGAACAAAACCUCUGCAAUGUUGUUUCCCAGCAGCCAUCAUGGUGUGAAACCAAUGUCAUUAAGAUUAUCCAACAGACUCCCUAACUCUAGUUUUAUGCCCACUAAGCAUCCUUCCAGUUUUAAAUUGGCUCUUCAUGUCACGUGCAACAGGGAGAGUGCAUCCAAAAAAAGGAGGCCAGCUGACUAUUUCCCUUGGCCGCCAUCUUUUUUAUUAAUAAACAAACUUUACACACACACACACACACACACACACACACACACACACACGUGCGUGCAUGCGGUGCUUCUUGCCACUCCUGACCCCCAUCCACUGUGAAGGGGAUAGUGAGAGUUAUCAGUUCCAUCUCCUGAGUGUGAAUUAAGCCAAAUAGCAGGGAAGUCUCAAUGGUCCCUCUCAGUAAAUCAGAGCUCAACAGAAUCAGGUCAGAGCUGGAAGGAUGCCGAGAACCCAUUGCAAGUAAUGACUCCUGCCCCAAGGUUUGCAGAAGUAACACUGGGGUCUGUGAAUUCUUGGCAAAAACUCAAGAAAGCUAAGGGAAUCCACACAUUAGCCAGUAAUGAGGCCACACAGACUAACUAAAGCAACAGCCACCUCAUUAAACUGGGAAGCUUACUACUGUUUUUAUUGCACAGUCACUUCUAAAUAUCUUUUAUUAAUAAAAUUGGGGAAAUGAGUUUGUUAUUCCUUAAUAAAUGCAGUGUGUUUGGUUGAUGAAAUCUUUACAAGAUGGGGAUCAAUAAGUGCUGAGAAUACUAAAAGAUAUCCUUGUUCUACAGGGUUGAAAACCCCUGAGGUACCAUCCCAUACCUACCAUUUUACAAAAGAAGAUGUGAUACAUGUAAGUACCAAUUCCUUAAGUGAAUGCAAUUUUAUGUAUCACAAACAUAUACUAAUAAAAAAAGAAACUAAAAGGUAAAGAUAAGGAGGAGGAAGAGGAAACAACCAGGCAGCCAAAAAAAAAAAAAACAUUCUUUUUCACAAGCUUCACAUUUUACUUAAUCUCUUAAAUUAUUCUAUUCCCAAGGCUAUGGCAGCUUGAGUAUGAGGAAUAAUCUGUCUAGAGCCUGUUUGUUUGCCUUGUCUCCUAAUUUACUCAACUCUCCAUGAAUGAGAGUAUGAAAUUUUCAUCGGUUCACCUGCUAAUUUUGACAGGAGAAAGAAGAGGUUCAAUAUUUUGAAAAGAGAAGAGGGAUGGGGGAAAGCACGUCUAUUACAUCAAUAGUUUCUCCACAUUAUUCGAUCUUCACAAAAAUCCCAAUAAGAAGGUAUAAUUUUCCCUUUUACAGACAAGAAAUUUAACAUUUGGAGAGGUUAAGAGAUUAGCCAAAGGAACAUAAGCUUAGAAGUAAAUUCCAGUCUAAAGUUUAUGUCCUGGCUCAUUCCACUACUGCUCUGUAAUGGUAACUGGGUUCAGCACCAUGGACAGCAACAGAGCUUCUACAGUCUUCUGGGUGCUGGCGAUGGGGCUGGAGAGAGUGGAAAGGUAGUGCUGAUUUCCUGGGAAGAGAUGUUUCUACAGAAAUGCCUGACUGAAUAGGAAUAGGAUGAGGGCAAGGAAAGACACAUCAUGGUAAUUUCUUUACAUCUGUAUCAAACUGCUAUUUUAGAAUCAUUUUCUAUCCUCCUGCCAAUUGCAUAAGAUAGGACAAGUAUUGUAUAAUGACAUUCCCAGACUGCCACCCACAGUUUGUGUAAGGCACGAAUGACUCAAUAGAUGGGAAAGUUAUCUGUAAUUCAUAAAAGACACUUUCAAGGAAACCACUAUAACAAACCCCAAAUCUCAGUGCCUUAACAGAAUAGAAGCUUGUUUCUUCUUGUUUAUUAUGAAGCUUUCCUCCAAGAAUGACACUGGUACCUGGUGCCUUUCUUCUAGUAGCUCUGUCACCUUCUAAUAUGAUCUGGACACCAAUCCAGAAGAGGAAAAAUCACAGAUACCCGGGGAGAUAUUCAUCAGCUGAGUUUGGCAUGACACAAAUCACUUCAGCUCACAUUUUGUUGGUUAGAACCCAGCCCAUGGCCAUGCAUAGCUGUAAAGAGGGGAGCUAGGGGCAUUGUCUAGCUGUGAGUACAGGAAGAUGAAGAAUGAGUCUUGGUGAAGACAAAGCAGCUUCUCCCACCUGAAAAAAGCUGAGAAACUGUCACAAUCACAGUGAGUGUGAGUUCCGUUUGAGAGCUUGAGAGUGGGAACAAAUUAAGGCCCAACCAUGGAAAGCAUCUCAAUCCCUACACUUGUGCUGGAUGCAACAGGCCUGAGCUGUCCUUCCCUUGGCUGUCUUGGAUUUUCUAUCUGGGCUUCCUCCAUGACACAAAAUCUGGGGAAAGGAUCACAAGAGGGAGCUGUUAGUCAUUAGGUUCCCCUGGAGUCUGUCUACAUAUAAUGAUAUUGAUAGAUAGAUUGGAAUUUAGCUAUAGAUAGAUCUCCACAAUACUGAACAUUCUAAUUCACCUACCCAGGACAAAUUCCUCUGGGGGUGGGUUUUUGACAGAGGAAUUGGGAUUCUUUCAGUUGUAAGUGACAGAAAUCCACAUCACAUGGUCUUAAGUGAGAAAGGAAAUGUAUUGGUUUGGGGGAGUGCAGGGGAAGGUCUCCUUUCAGGCACAGCCCCAUGUAGACUUCAGCAGUUUUGUCAGGAUGUCUGGGCUCUCUGUCUCUAUGCUCUGAUAUACACAGAGGCUCCAUUUCCAGGCAGGCUCCCUUCAUGGAUCAAAGUGGCUGUUGGCAGCUGCAGGCACACCUUUUUCUUUCUUUUAAUCAGCAACACCAAGAGAAUGUUUCUUUCUUGGUAAAAACCCCAUGGUGAAUGCUUUAGGCACUAAUAUCCUGGCCUGGGUCAUUUGCUAUAUUGGUUCAGUUUCGGGUUCUCUAAUGGUGCAGAAGGCAAUCUUUUAGCUAGGCCUAUAAAAUCAGAGAUGGGAAAGUCCACAGUGGCUGUGUGCACAAUGGAGAGCUGAAGGGUACAAUAGCUGCUUAGUCCAGGAAGCUGAAAGCUGUGGAAAAGAGGCUCAAGGAUGUAGCAUCUGUCCAAGAUGAUGGAAGCUCCCUGCAAUGUCUGGUGUGAAUCUCUGCCAAAAGAUAGAAUCAACCGGAGUCUGAUGCCCACAGGCAACGGCAGUAGCAAAAGAUGCCCUCAUUCAAGAAGAAUGAAGUUUUUCAAACACAGGCUGACCUUUCCCUUUCAUUCUGUCCAGGGUACUUUAUUGGUUGGUGCCACCCACAAUUGGAAUGGGUCUUCCCCACUUCAGUUUGCAGGCAUACAUGCCAGUCAUCUCUGGAAACACCCCAGAGACAUUGCUAGAAGAAAGCUAAUCUGCUAGGCAUUUCUGGAAUCCAACAAAUUAGGCACAUCAUGAUUAAUGGUGACAGAACCCAAGAACUUUAGAAGGAUCAUGGGCACUAGAGUCAGCCUGCUUUGGGAUGAACCUCAGCUCUGCUACUCAGGCUAUGACCCUGGGCAUGGAGCUUACUUUCUCUUCCUGAUCCUCAGCCUGCAUGUGUACAGAGGGUUUGCUCUGAGGAUGAAAUGAGACUAGGCAGGGAAUGUGCUGUUUCUGACACCCAGAAGUGCCCACCUGCACCUGGGACAGAUAGUGGGUCUUCAUUUGGGGCCUGCAGAGCUUCCACUCACCCCACAACUAAUAUGGUGCCCAGAAGCUCAAGGAAAUGCUCCCACUUUGCUUCUUCCCCGUCCCCUAUAGCUCCCCAUACUACCUCCCUGUGGCUCUCCUGAUGCCCUGGAAACCAAAUGCUGCUGACCCUCUUCCCUGCUCUCUGGUGGCAGCAAGACCACAACAUUUCCACCCACAUGAGCAUCUUUCCUUCUCUCCCUUGGGACAUUGUGGCUUCCCACCACCACUUUCAGCCACCAAACCACAAGAAGAUAGUCACAACGUCCCCUCUGUUUGCUGACUUUCCUUAAGGUCACCCUUUGUGAUAUGUCACCAAGAGCGAACAAAUCUUCACUGUGUCCAUUCUAUCAAAACUUGUUUCUAUAUGCAUCUGUCAUCACUGAUUGCAUUUGAAUGGUCUUGGUCUCUAUUUUAAAUAAAAGAUUUAUGCCUUAGCUGUCAGAGCCUGCCUUUAUUUGAAAAUUUAAUCUUGUUUCUAGGAGUCUAGAUUAACUUAUUAGAUUUAGGUAUCCCUCGUGUGUCUCUGAGAGAGAGAAGGAGCAGAAUCUCCUCUCUGCAUGCAGCCCUUCUUGGUGGAAGCCAAGAGCCAGGCCUCACCACCCAGCACACCAAGGUUGGACAGAGGCACCAUCCUGGAAGCUGCAUUUGGUAACCAUGGAUCCAAGGAGCCUCUCUCUGGGUCUGCAGGACUGGGGGUCAGCUCCCAGACACUUAGCCCAGGGGCCUAUGUUCAUUGCAAGGUCCUCCAUCAAACACACAAACCUUUCUCCAGCAUUCCAUGGAGUUUUCAGAAAAGACCCCCAGUAGGAGACAAAUUUGCCAACAUGUCUGUGCCAAGGAGCUCUGAGCCCCCCUUACCUAUACUGCGUCUUCUAUGUCUCACAGAGCUCUUGUGCUGAUUAGACCACAGGGUGAGGAGACUUGGUUUCAGCUCCACUGUGUGACCUUGUCCAGGCCACUUAAUUUCUCUGACCUCAUCCGAAGUCUCCUCAUCUGGAGGAUAGAAGUGAUGUGAAUGCCCACCACAUAGGACUGGUGUGUUUCACUUAUUGAGAAAACAGGGGAUAUCUUUGUUUUCUGCUACUAUAACAGAAUAUCACAGAUUGGGUGGUUUAUAUAUAAUAGAAAUGUUUGGCUCAUAGCUCUAGAGGCUACAGAGUCCAAGGGCUUUGCACAAGCAGCUAGUCAGGACCUUUACAGUGAUAUCACAUGGCCCACAUCCAGCCUCCAAGCUGUGACACCUCCUGUCAGUAGGGCCCCUCCCACAACCUUCCCACAAGCCACUGCAGAGAAAGCAGCCUUC